rnacentral:rRNA from 1 species
UAGCAGGUUAAUAUUCCUGCACCACUCGUAGUGGUUUGAGCGAAGGGGGGACGCAGAAGGCUAGGUCAGGGGAACUGUUGGAAUAGUUCCUUGUAGCAUGUAGGUAGUCUGGAUAGGCAAAUCCGUCCGGACGUUAAUCUGAGGUGCAUACUGAAGCGGAUACGUUCUGCAAACUGAUUGACGCCACACUGCCAAGAAAAUCCUCUAGUGACACAAAGAGUGCCCGUACCGUAAACCGACACAGGUGGGUUAGUAGAGAAUACUAAGACGCGCGAGAUAACCCUCGCUAAGGAACUCGGCAAAAUAACUCUGUAACUUCGGGAGAAGGAGUGCCACAUUAGUGUGUAGCGAUUUACUCGUGAAGCAUGAAGUGGUCGCAGCGGAGAGGCCCAAGCGACUGUUUAACAAAAACACAGGUCUCUGCUAAGACGCAAGUCGAAGUAUAGGGGCUGACGCCUGCCCAGUGCCGGAAGGUUAAGGAAGGAGGUUAGGAGUAAUCCGAAGCUUUUGACCGAAGCCCCGGUGAACGGCGGCCGUAACAAUAACGGUCCUAAGGUAGCGAAAUUCCUUGUCAGGUAAGUUCUGACCCGCACGAAAGGCGUAACGACUUGGGCGCUGUCUCGGCGAGGGACUCGGUGAAAUUGGAAUGGCUGUGAAGAUACGGCCUACUCAUACCAGGACAGAAAGACCCCAUGGAGCUUUACUGUAGCUUGCCAUUGAAUUUGGGUUGCUUAUGUGCAGGAUAGGUGGGAGACUGCGAGGCAUCUUCGUCAGGAGGUGUGGAGUCGUCGGUGAGAUACCACUCUUAAGUAAUCUAAGUUCUAACUUUGCGCCGUAAUCCGGGCAGAGGACAGUGGCUGGUAGGCAGUUUGACUGGGGCGGUCGCCUCCUAAAGAGUAACGGAGGCGUCCAAAGGUUCCCUCAGACUGGUUGGAAAUCAGUCGCAGAGUGCAAAGGCAUAAGGGAGCUUGACUGUGAGACUGACAGGUCGAACAGGGAGGAAACUCGGGCUUAGUGAUCCGACGCCAGCGCGUGGAAGUGGCGUCGCUCAACGGAUAAAAGUUACCCUGGGGAUAACAGGCUGAUCUCCCCCAAGAGUCCACAUCGACGGUAGGUUUGGCACCUCGAUGUCGGCUCGUCGCAACCUGGGGCGGUAGUACGUCCCAAGGGUCGGGCUGUUCGCCCGUUAAAGCGGUACGUGAGCUGGGUUCAGAACGUCGUGAGACAGUUCGGUCCAUAUCCGGUAUGAGCGCAGGAAAUUUGAGAGGAGCCGUCCUUAGUACGAGAGGACCGGGACGGACCAGCCUCCAGUGUACCAGUGGUUCCGCCAAGGGGCCAACGCUGGGUAGCUGUGCUGGGAGCGGAUAAGCGCUGAAAGCAUCUAAGUGCGAAGCCCACCUUAAGAUAAGAUUUCCCAUCUCUAUAUGAGAGUAAGACCCCCGGAAGAUAAUCGGGUAGAUAGGCUGCAAGUGGAAGCGUAGCAAUAUGUGUAGCUGAGCAGUACUAAUCGGUCGAGGGUUUAACCU